AUUGAACGCUGGCGGCAGGCCUAACACAUGCAAGUCGAGCGAGCGGCGGACGGGUGAGUAAUGUAUGGGGACUGCCCGAUAGAGGGGGAUAACUACUGGAAACGGUGGCUAAUACCGCAUACUGUCGGAUUACCCAGAUGGGAUUAGAUAGUAGGUAAGGUAAUGGAGUACCUAGGCGACGAUCCCUAGCUGGACUGAGAGGAUGAUACGCCACACCGGGACUGGGAAACGGCCCAGACUCCUACGGAGGCAGCAGUGGGGAAGAUUGAACAAUGGGCGGAAGCCUGAUGCAGCCAUGCCGAGUGUAUGAAGAAGGCCCUAGGGUUGUAAAGUACGUUCAGUCGGGAGGCGUUACCGACAGAAGAAGCACCGGCUAACUCCGUGCCAGCAGCCGCGGUAAUAC
rnacentral:rRNA from 1 species